UACGUAGGGUGCGAGCGUUAUUCGGAAUUAUUGGGCGUAAAGCGUGCGCAGGCGGUUCGUUGUGUCGGCGGUGAAAGCCCCGGGCUCAACCUGGGAAUGGCCGUUGAAACUGGCGAACUGGAGUGUGGCAGAGGGGGGUGGAAUUCCGCGUGUAGCAGUGAAAUGCGUAGAGAUGCGGAGGAACACCGAUGGCGAAGGCAGCCCCCUGGGCUGACACUGACGCUCAGGCACGAAAGCGUGGGGAGCAAACAGG
rnacentral:rRNA from 1 species